UAACAGUUGGAAACGACUGCUAAGACUGGAUAGGAGACAAGAAGGCAUCUUCUUGUUUUUAAAAGACCUAGCAAUAGGUAUGCUUAGGGAGGAGCUUGCGUCACAUUAGUUAGUUGGUGGGGUAAAGGCCUACCAAGACUAUGAUGUGUAGCCGGGCUGAGAGGUUGAACGGCCACAUUGGGACUGAGACACGGCCCAAACUCCUACGGGAGGCAGCAGUAGGGAAUUUUCGGCAAUGGAGGAAACUCUGACCGAGCAACGCCGCGUGAACGAUGAAGUAUUUCGGUACGUAAAGUUCUUUUAUUAGGGAAGAAUAAAUGAUGGAAAAAUCAUUCUGACGGUACCUAAUGAAUAAGCCCCGGCUAACUAUGUGCCAGCAGCCGCGGUAAUACAUAGGGGGCAAGCGUUAUCCGGAAUUAUUGGGCGUAAAGGGUGCGUAGGCGGUUAAAUAAGUUUAUGGUCUAAGUGCAAUGCUCAACAUUGUGAUGCUAUAAAAACUGUUUAGCUAGAGUAAGAUAGAGGCAAGUGGAAUUCCAUGUGUAGUGGUAAAAUGCGUAAAUAUAUGGAGGAACACCAGUAGCGAAGGCGGCUUGCUGGGUCUUUACUGACGCUGAGGCACGAAAGCGUGGGGAGCAAACAGGAUUAGAUACCCUGGUAGUCCACGCCGUAAACGAUGAGUACUAAACGUUGGGUAAAACCAGUGUUGAAGUUAACACAUUAAGUACUCCGCCUGAGUAGUACGUACGCAAGUAUGAAACUUAAAGGAAUUGACGGGACUCCGCACAAGCGGUGGAUCAUGUUGUUUAAUUCGAAGGUACCCGAAAAACCUCACCAGGUCUUGACAUGCUUCUGCAAAGCUGUAGAAACACAGUGGAGGUUAUCAGUUGCACAGGUGGUGCAUGGUUGUCGUCAGCUCGUGUCGUGAGAUGUUGGGUUAAGUCCCGCAACGAGCGCAACCCUUAUUGUUAGUUACCAGCACGUAAUGGUGGGGACUUUAGCAAGACUGCCAGUGAUAAAUUGGAGGAAGGUGGGGACGACGUCAAAUCAUCAUGCCCCUUAUGACCUGGGCUACAAACGUGAUACAAUGGCUGUUACAAAGGGUAGCUGAAGCGCAAGUUUUUGGCGAAUCUCAAAAAAAAAAAAAACAGUCUCAGUUCGGAUUGAAGUCUGCAACUCGACUUCAUGAAGUUGGAAUCGCUAGUAAUCGCGAAUCAGCAUGUCGCGGUGAAUACGUUCUCGGGGUUUGUACACACCGCC
rnacentral:rRNA from 1 species